rnacentral:rRNA from 1 species
UACGGGGGGGGCAAGCGUUGUUCGGAAUUACUGGGCGUAAAGGGCGCGUAGGCGGCACUGUUAGUCAGGCGUGAAAGUCCUGGGCUCAACCUGGGAACUGCGCUUGAUACGGCAGAGCUAGAGGAUGGAAGAGGCUCGCGGAAUUCCCAGUGUAGAGGUGAAAUUCGUAGAUAUUGGGAAGAACACCGGUGGCGAAGGCGGCGAGCUGGUCCAUUACUGACGCUGAGGCGCGACAGCGUGGGGGAGCAAACAGG